rnacentral:rRNA from 1 species
GCGCAACCCUUGUCCUUAGUUACCAGCACGUUAUGGUGGGCACUCUAAGGAGACUGCCGGUGACAAACCGGAGGAAGGUGGGGAUGACGUCAAGUCAUCAUGGCCCUUACGGCCUGGGCUACACACGUGCUACAAUGGUCGGUACAAAGGGUUGCCAAGCCGCGAGGUGGAGCUAAUCCCAUAAAGUGCGUCCCAGUCCGGAUUGCAGUCUGCAACUCGACUGCAUGAAGUUGGAAUCGCUAGUAAUUCGAGAUCAGCAUGCUCGGGUGAAUGCGUUCCCGGGCCUU